UCUCACUCCGAAGCCAACCUAAACCCUAGGAGCCCGUGGCUAACUCUCCUCGCCCGACCCUCCAGAGAAUGUGCGCCGUCACCUCUCCCUCUCCCUCUCCCCCCUGGUCGCAAGAUCCAACACCACUGCCGUCGCCAGAUCCAACCCCACUCCCGUCCCCGUCCACCCCGCCGCCGCCGCCGUCGUGAAUCCCGCCGGCGUCAACCCCGCGCGCGCGUGCUCUGCGCCCCGUGUCGGCUCGACGGACUCCAGGACCUCCGGAUCGGAGCCCCGCGCGCCUCGCCAUGGCGGACAACGCGGUCAAGGCCUAGCUCAACGCGACAGAUCGCUUCCAGUUCUAACACCGGCCGGCGAAAAGAGAUCGGGCUCGCCAAUCUCUCACCGGCUUCCCUCCGUCCCUUCCCAAAGGCGGUUGCGGAGUCAAAUCGCGCACUGAGAAGAGCUGAUAUGCAAGCGCUGCUCUUCUCUGCUCGGUGGACGCGGGCCUGCGGCAGCGGCAGCGGUGGAGAAGGGAGGGGAGGUAGGCAUCGGGUGACCUCCGUGACGCUCUCCAUGUUGGGGGAGAAGCCCGACCUGGUGUGCGAGCCGAGCGACAUCGUCGGGCAGGCGACGCGAACCAAAGACACAAAACAAGCGAAGCGAACCCCCUCUUCCUCCUCAUGUCGCCAUCCGCAGCCACCGGCAAAACCUCGUCCAGGGAGCCAUGGAGAGCAGCACCAGCGCCGAGGAGUCGCGGUGACUCGCGGCCCUCUGUGAACCCGAGCUCGAUUUGCUCAUCAGCCUGAAGAUGCUGGCGUGUCACCCGCUGUCACCCGCUGAUUACUCUCCAAAUGCAAAGUUCAUUUCCGUCCUAUCACCCGCUGAUUACUCACCCGCUGUCACCUGCAGGAUGGUUUCUUGAUUUAUUUCCGUCCUGUCACCCGCUGAUUACUCUGCAAAUGCAAAGUUCAUUUCCGCUUUGGUGGCAGACCUAUUGUCUUUGUUACUGAUUUAUGUGCACUUACGCCAUGCCUUGGGACAUUCAGUUGUUUCUGUUAUUCUUCAAAUACUCUGAAUCUGUGUGUCAAGGGGGGCAGAUUUGGAGCAAAACUUUGAAUUCAUGGGUGGCGGAGAGGCCGGAGGCGGACGUGGUGGUGAUCAGGAGCGGGCUCGGGGGGCUCUGAUGUGCGGGGCUCCUGGCGAGGUACAGGUAGGAUGUGGUGGUGAUCGGGAGCAGGCUCGGGGGGCUCUUCUCCGGCUUCCAGUCCAGAGGGCCCGAAGACAACCCCGUCACCCAGGUCUGUCACCCUCCAUUGGUUCGGUUCCUCUCCUACAAACAACAACAGAGCAGACAACAGGGAGAUUCUUUCAGACAAAUUAACUGUCUGAAAUCUGAAGUGAACUUAUCAACAGAACAGGAUUGCCAGUUCUACAUGCAGAAUUGCGAUUCGUGAUGGAACCGUCCGGUUCAGGAGCAGCAGAACCGGGCGAGGACGGCCGCGACCAAGAACCGGCCCAUGAGCGCUCCUACGCCCCCUCCAAUGGAGCCGGACCCGCGGUGGCGGAGAUGAGGGAGGCGCCCAACUCGUCUGGCCUGGAGUGCGUUCCUGAGCGUUUCUUCGUUUCCUCUUGCGCAGUUCAACUUGUUGCGCGCGGGAGAGGCGAUGCAUAGGAAGGAACGGGAACUUGGCUCCAGAGUGUGUCAUCACCGAGGACCUCCAGGCCUAAGAAAGUUGAAGUGCGAAGCCUUGAAGCCAAUUGUGUGAAGCUCUACUUAUCCAAGAAUGCAUAUUAUAUAUUGUAAUAUUGCAUAUUAUAUAUUGUAAUAAUAGACAUAUCUGCUUUGUAAUAGACUGGAAAAAUUGUAAUAUACUACCUUCGUGUUAAUUUGAUGAAUUUCACAUGUCC